AUGCCUAACACAUGCAAGUCGAACGAGAUCUUCGGAUCUAGUGGCGCACGGGUGAGUAACGCGUGGGAACCUACCUUUUAGUACGGGACAACGUUUGGAAACGAACGCUAAUACCGUAUACGCCCUCCGGGGGAAAGGUCAGCCGCUAAAAGAGGGGCCCGCGUCUGAUUAGCUUGUUGGUAAGGUAAUGGCUUACCAAGGCGACGAUCAGUAGCUGGUCUGAGAGGAUGAUCAGCCACACUGGGACUGAGACACGGCCCAGACUCCUACGGGAGGCAGCAGUGGGGAAUAUUGGACAAUGGAGGCAACUCUGAUCCAGCAAUGCCGCGUGUGUGAUGAAGGCCCUAGGGUUGUAAAGCACUUUCAACGGUGAAGAUGAUGACGGUAGCCGUAGAAGAAGCCCCGGCUAACUUCGUGCCAGCAGCCGCGGUAAUACGAAGGGGGCGAGCGUUAUUCGGAAUUAUUGGGCGUAAAGGGCUCGCAGGCUGCUUGAACAGUUAGACGUGAAAUCCCCGGGCUUAACCUGGGAACUGCGUUUAAUACUAGCAAGCUAGAGAAAUAGAGAGGAAAGUGGAACUCCCAGUGUAGAGGUGAAAUUCGUAGAUAUUGGGAAGAACACCAGUGGCGAAAGCGACUUUCUGGCUAUUU
rnacentral:rRNA from 1 species